AUUGAACGCUGGCGGCAUGCUUUACACAUGCAAGUCGAACGGCAGCGCGGGCUUCGGCCUGGCGGCGAGUGGCGAACGGGUGAGUAAUGCAUCGGAACGUGCCCAGUAGUGGGGGAUAGCCCGGCGAAAGCCGGAUUAAUACCGCAUACGACCUGAGGGUGAAAGCGGGGGGCCGAAAGGCCUCGCGCUAUUGGAGCGGCCGAUGUCGGAUUAGCUAGUUGGUGGGGUAAAGGCUUACCAAGGCGACGAUCCGUAGCUGGUCUGAGAGGACGACCAGCCACACUGGGACUGAGACACGGCCCAGACUCCUACGGGAGGCAGCAGUGGGGAAUUUUGGACAAUGGGGGCAACCCUGAUCCAGCCAUGCCGCGUGCGGGAAGAAGGCCUUCGGGUUGUAAACCGCUUUUGUUUGGGAAGAAAUCCUCUGGGCUAAUACCCCGGGGGGAUGACGGUACCGGAAGAAUAAGCACCGGCUAACUACGUG
rnacentral:rRNA from 1 species